CAGACAGUUGUGAGCUACCUACCGCGU
rnacentral:piRNA from 1 species